AUGGAGAAUGGCACACUCUUUGACCACCUGCACCCUUAUAAGGCCGGCUCCUCUUCGCUGUCGCCGGUGACAAUGUCCUGGAAGGUGCGCGCCAAUGUGCUCCUCGGCGUGUCACGCGCUAUUGAGCACCCGCACUGUCAUGCCAACCCAUCGAUCAUACACCGGGACAUCAAGCCGAGUAACAUCAGUUUCGAUGCUGGUUGGGCGCCACGUGUGAUGGACUUUGGCUUGUCGGUUGUCUGGGACAUGGCGAGUGAGGAGGAGGGAUUGGUUCUCGCCGUUGCAGGCACAAUGGGGUACGUCGCCAAUGAGUACGCCCUCUAUGGUUGUCUGACACCGGCGUGCGAUGUGUACAGCCUGGGUGUGGUGAUGCUCGAGGUUCUAACAGGGGAAAAGGCAUUUUCCCAAGAUGAUGAGAGGAUGAGUGCAGGAUUGGUUUCCUUCGCAGUCCCCAUAAUCGAGGAAGGUAAUUUUGAGGCGUUGCUAGACAGGCGACCGGUGCCGGAGCCAACGGCAGGGCACCUCAAGGCGCUGGAGCAGGUAGCGCAGACUGCACGAUGUUGUGUGUAG
rnacentral:rRNA from 1 species